UUAUAUAUAUAUAUAUAUAUAUAGAAUUGAGCUCUUAUGCUUUUAAAAGUACCAAGUUAUCAGUAUUUAUAGAUUUUUAGCCAUUGGAUUAAAAGAUAUGCGGUUAGGAUGAUGUGGGCCCCCUAGGGUUGAGUGGGUGGUUGGUUGAAUAGUAUAAUCUAAUAGUUGAAAAUGAUCUGAGAAAUAGAUCUAACGGUAAAAAAUUUACAAGCACCGAUAAAAAAUUUACAAGCACCGAGUGCUUUGUACUUUUACAAGCACCAUAGCUGAACUAUAUAUAUAUAUAUAUAUAGAGAGAGAGAGAGAGAGAGAGAGAGAGAGAGAACGUCUCCCAUGCUUUAGAGAGAGAGAGAGAGAGUACGUCUCCUAUGUUUUUGAAAGUACGGAGGCCUUCGUGCUUAUAAGUUAUUUUCGAUGAUAGGACAUCCGAUUCGACGAUCAGCUCCGUUAGGCAUAAUCUAUACUAUUGAAACUAUUUAGAAAUCAAAUUUUAUAAUUUUUCGACUUCAUUUACCAAGCGAUCAGAGGGUCUCAAAAAUGACUAUUUUAACGGCCGAUGUGGCACGUUUUUAAGUUCAACGGUGUAGAAGUAUCCAAAUUAUAUGAAACUUUAAUAGAAAAUUCUACUUAACAUCAAGAGUAAGAACAAUAUUUCCGAUUUGAAAUUUGAAUCUUUUAUCAGUGUUUUUUAUGAGAUUUUUAUUUUCAGCCGUUCAUUUUGAGGCUACUCGUUCACUAGGCAAACAAAAUUAAAAAAUUAUGAAAUUUGGUUUCUGGAUAGUUUUAAUAGUGCAGAUCAUGUUUAACGGAACCGAUCGCCGAAUUGGACGUCCCAUUAUCGAAAACAAAUUACAAGCACGGAGGCCUCCGUACUUUCAAAAGCAUAGAGCUCUCUCUCUCUCUCUCUCUCUCUCUCUCUCUCUCUCUCUCUAUUACUAUAUAUAAUAUAUAUAUAUAUAUAUAUAUAUAUAGUUGAGCUAGAUUACGCUCAAAAGCACCAAGAAGGUAGUGUUUUUGAGUUUUUAGCCAUUGGAUGGAGAGAUGUGAGGUUGAGAUGAUGGUGGUAGGUGGAGUAGCGUUUGAUCCAAAGGCUAUUAGUAAUCAUGGAGUAGAUCAAAGGACUAGAAAAUUAGAAGCAUCAAGGGGUUGGUGUUUCUAAAAGUAUUCUAGCUAAAUUCUCUCUCUAUAUAUAUAUAUAUAGAGUCCGCCUACUAUAUUAUUAUGAGUACGAUCGUUCUCGUACUCAUAAGUUGUUUUUUAUGAUAGAGCUUCCGAAUCGACAAUCCACACCAUUAAAUCUUAUCUACAGUAUUUAAAACUUCUAAAAAUUAAAUUUCAUAAUUUUUCGACAUCAUUUGCCUUACGAUCAAAAGCUUACAAAAUUGACAAUUUUUAACGGCCGGUAUGAGGUACUUGCUAGUUUAACGGUAUAAAAGAAUCGGAAUAGGUUGCAUUUUUUAUAGAAAAUUCUAUUCACUGCCUAGAUAAAGAUCAAUAACUCCGAUCUUAAAUUAAGGGAUCCGAUUAUCUAUUUUUAGGGCGUCGUUCGAUUUUGAUCGGAUCCAUUUUUAGGACGUUGUUCGAUUUUGACCGUUUAUUUUAUGCCCGUUUGAUGAACUUUAUUAUGAUUUCGAAAAAUUACGAAAUUUAUUUUUUAAAAGUUUCAGAUGCUCUAUAUCAUAUUUAACGGAGUGGAUCGUCGAUUCGGAAGCCCUACAAUCGAAAACAACUUAUGAGUACGAAGGGCCCAAUACUCAUAAGAGUAUAGUAGCUCUACUCUAUAUAUAUAUAUAUAUAUACAGGCUCUUUGUGAUCCACAACGUGUUAUCAUUUUGUUCAUUUAUUUUAAAAAUAAACUUCAUUGCAAAUAUAAAAUAACUAUAUUUUAAAGAUCAAGCUCUUUAUCACUUACACUAGAGAUGAUCC
rnacentral:lncRNA from 1 species